rnacentral:rRNA from 1 species
UUUCCUACGGGCGGCUGCAGUAGGGAAUAUUGCUUAAUGGGCGAAAGCCUGAAGCAGCAACGCCGCGUGUGCGAUGAAGGCCUUCGGGUUGUAAAGCACUUUUUGAGGGGAUGAGGAAGGACAGUACCCUCAGAAUAAGCCUCGGCUAACUACGUGCCAGCAGCCGCGGUAACACGUAGGAGGCAAGCGUUAUCCGGAUUUACUGGGCGUAAAGCGCGUGCAGGCGGUUUGGAAAGUUGGAUGUGAAAGCUCCUGGCUUAACUGGGAGAGGUCGUUCAAUACUUCUAGACUCGAGUAUGGGAGAGGGAGGUGGAAUUCCGGGUGUAGUGGUGAAAUGCGUAGAUAUCCGGAGGAACACCAGUGGCGAAAGCGGCCUCCUGGCCCAUUACUGACGCUCAGACGCGAAAGCUAGGGUAGCAAACGGGAUUAGAUACCCGGGUAGUC